rnacentral:rRNA from 1 species
UACAGAGGGUGCAAGCGUUAAUCGGAAUUACUGGGCGUAAAGCGCGCGUAGGCGGUUGUGUAAGUUGGAUGUGAAAGCCCCGGGCUCAACCUGGGAAUUGCAUUCAAAACUGCACGGCUAGAGUACGGGAGAGGGGGGUAGAAUUCCAGGUGUAGCGGUGAAAUGCGUAGAGAUCUGGAGGAAUACCGAUGGCGAAGGCAGCCCCCUGGCCUGAUACUGACGCUGAGGUGCGAAAGCAUGGGGAGCAAACAGG